GACGAACGCUGGCGGCGUGCCUAAUACAUGCAAGUAGAACGCUGAAGGAGGAGCUUGCUUCUCUGGAUGAGUUGCGAACGGGUGAGUAACGCGUAGGUAGCCUGCCUGGUAGCGGGGGAUAACUAUUGGAAACGAUAGCUAAUACCGCAUAAUAGCAGUUGUUGCAUGAUAACUGUUUGAAAGGUGCAAUUGCACCACUACCAGAUGGACCUGCGUUGUAUUAGCUAGUUGGUGGGGUAACGGCUCACCAAGGCGACGAUACAUAGCCGACCUGAGAGGGUGAUCGGCCACACUGGGACUGAGACACGGCCCAGACUCCUACGGGAGGCAGCAGUAGGGAAUCUUCGGCAAUGGACGGAAGACUGACCGAGCAACGCCGCGUGAGUGAAGAAGGUUUUCGGAUCGUAAAGCUCUGUUGUAAGAGAAGAACGAGUGUGAGAGUGGAAAGUUCACACUGUGACGGUAGCUUACCAGAAAGGGACGGCUAACUACGUG
rnacentral:rRNA from 1 species